rnacentral:tRNA from 1 species
GGGCCUAUAGCUCAGUUGGUUAGAGCACCUGACUCAUAAUCAGGUGGUCCCAGGUUCAAGUCCUGGUGGGCCCACAA